rnacentral:lncRNA from 1 species
UCCCUUGUCUACUAGAUGCUACAAUGUAUCAACAACACAAAACAUAUAAUUACUAUUGGAUAGCUUUAUAAAAAUAAUGAGAUAAUAGCAGAAAUCCAUCGCAAUUAACAUCUUCUAUCAAAUCAAGUUGAAUGAAAUCGCAUAAAAUAUAUUCCGUGAAAUGGAAACAACAUGAUUUGUACAAGAUUGCGCCAUAGGAAUCUCUCAUAUAUAAUUAUCAAGGUAUGAAAGAGGAGAAAAGUCACGUGAUUAUGACGACAAAGAAAAGAGAGCGGAAAAAUGAGAAAUUAUAUAAGAUAAGGGGAGUAGAGAAAGUCAUUUAAUAAGAAAAAAGAAAAAUAAUAUUGAAACGUCAAAUCGUGAGGAAUAUUAUCAGUCCGUAUAAUUAAUUGUUUAGAGUGAUUAAGAGUGAGAUCAGUGUGGUACUCAUUAUAUUCUAAGGGAUUUUUGAAAUUGUCAAGUUUAACUUUACGAGGAUCAUUAACAUCAUGGACAAGUAUCAGGGAUCUUAUCAGAACUCGGAUGUGGAGUUCCAUCGUCUUUCGAAUAGUAUAGGGAGUAACAUCCAGAAAAUUCUUCAAAACGUUUCAUCUAUGCAACGCAUGAUUGCACAAAUUGGAACGUCUCAGGAAAAUCAACAGCUUCAGAAUCAACUCAAUUAUAAGUAUUCCUUCUAUGUUCUUGAGAAGAACUUGAAGGGUUGUCGUGUCUUGUAGAAGUAUGCAUGUCAGGGGAGGAAGGAGCAAUCAUACGUAUUAAUUUUUGAAGAGUGAUUUAUGACACGUUCUUUCAUUUUAUUUUCAUUAUGUUUUUAUUUUAUUUCAUAUGUAUGUAUGUACAAAUGAUUUUUGAUUUAAUUUGACAGGUCAUGUCGAAUAGACCAGAAAAACUUUUUUAUUAUAUAACUUUCAACUUGUCAAUUCCUUUUGAAUAAUGUGUUGAUAAUUAUUAUAAUGAAUCUAAAGAUCUUAUUUGUUGAAUUUUUCUGUGAAGUAUGCAUCUUUUUUAAACAAUUAGGAAAAUAGUAGUUAUUUUAA